CGUGUCUCACUGUGUCGUGAUAUCUACAUCUGGUGACCUCGACGUGAUUCAGAACAAACACCCUCGUACCCACUGGCAGGAUCAGCCAACGGUGCACCUCAGCGUACAGCUCCCAUUCGUAGCUGCAGUACUGGCAGAAGUGACCAGGGAGAAACCGGUUCCGGCAUUUUCAGCAGUCGGAGUCUCUACCUGCCCCGCGGGUGCAGUUUCGGCAACUACCAAAUCCAGAGUGGAAAGGCCCAGUUCCGCUUAUAACGUGGGGUCGAGGUUACGCGGCUGUGUCUACGCCUGACGGUCCUGUGUGGGUACCUGCUAGGUGUAUCCGGCCCUGGAAAGACGAUGUCCUGGCACGAUAAUCUUAAGAAUCCCAUCCCUAAUUUUUCUCUGCAACUUCAGGAUACUGGGAUGUCUUCCAGGAAGCGUGGUCGGAAUGUUCCGCAACCUCCCGUGACUUGGGGCCAAAUAAAGAACUUAGCAACACAAGCAGAAAAAGCAAUGGAACAAGCCGGGGUGGACAAGACAACUGAGAAUACCAUUCUUGCUUUAAUUGCGUCUUUAAAUACAAAUUCUAUUUUUGUACUUUGCAUUUGUUGGAUUUUAGGAAGCGCCGGGGCUGACAGGUUGGGGCAGGAGUUGGGGAUGCGGUUUCAACACAAUAUCUGGGUUCAGUUAGCAAGAAUGACAAAUGUGAGUGACUUUUGCAUGACUGAACAUGUACAGGAAAUGGGUAUGUUGGGAACAUGUUUAAUACCCGUAUGCAAAGCACCUGGGGAUAUUGGGAACAUUACAGGACUUGGGCGGUUCAUGAAUACUUCAGAGAUUAAAUAUCAUACUGUUUCGA